AUUGAACGCUGGCGGCAGGCCUAACACAUGCAAGUCGAGCGAGCGGCGGACGGGUGAGUAAUGUAUGGGGAUCUGCCUGAUGGAGGGGGAUAACUACUGGAAACGGUGGCUAAUACCGCAUACCAUCAGAAGAACCCAUAUGGGAUUAGCUUGUAGGUAGGGUAAAGGCUUACCUAGGCGACGAUCCCUAGCUGGUCUGAGAGGAUGAUCAGCCACACUGGGACUUAGACACGGCCCAGACUCCGACGGGAGGCAGCAGUGGGGAAUAUUGCACAAUGGGCGCAAGCCUGAUGCAGCCAUGCCGCGUGUAUGAAGAAGGCCUUCGGGUUGUAAAGUACUUUCAGCCGGGAGGCGUUACCCGCAGAAGAAGCACCGGCUAACUCCGUGCCAGCCGCCGCGGUAAUUC
rnacentral:rRNA from 1 species